GACGAACGCUGGCGGCGUGCCUAAUACAUGCAAGUUGAGCGAUGAAGAUUGGUGCUUGCACCAAUUUGAAGAGCAGCGAACGGGUGAGUAACGCGUGGGGAAUCUGCCUUUGAGCGGGGGACAACAUUUGGAAACGAAUGCUAAUACCGCAUAACAACUUUAAACAUAAGUUUUAAGUUUGAAAGAUGCAAUUGCAUCACUCAAAGAUGAUCCCGCGUUGUAUUAGCUAGUUGGUGAGGUAAAGGCUCACCAAGGCGAUGAUACAUAGCCGACCUGAGAGGGGGAUCGGCCACAUUGGGACUGAGACAAGGCCCAAACUCCUACGGGAGGCAGCAGUAGGGAAUCUUCGGCAAUGGACGAAAGUCUGACCGAGCAACGCCGCGUGAGUGAAGAAGGUUUUCGGAUCGUAAAACUCUGUUGGUAGAGAAGAACGUUGGUGAGAGUGGAAAGCUCAUCAAGUGACGGUAACUACCCAGAAAGGGACGGCUAACUACGUG
rnacentral:rRNA from 1 species